GACAAAAAAAAAAAAAAAAAAAAAAAAAACCCACCAAAAAAAUAAAAUAAAAUUAUAAAGUCUUAUCUGAGCUACAUUCCCUAACCCAGUGUAUAUAUGUCUUGUUCAUGCAAAUUGAAAACUCUGCUUUAAAUAAAAUAAUACUUUAUUUGAGCCAAAUAUGCAAACCAAGGCUGAGGAAUAUGAACUCAGGUUAACCUGAGUGACCUACAUUCUCUGAAGUAGAAAAGGCUGCAUAAGUGAUUGUUUACAGACAAAGAGCAAGAAACCUGUAAUCCCAGCUACUUGGGAGGCUGAGACCACCCAUCACUCAAAUGGCCCUCCAGCCUAUUACUUCUCAAUCUGACUUCUAUCAUGGACCACUAGAUAGACCUGAUAGACCCGAUUUUUAAAGGGGACUCCAAACUGCUUGCCCAACAUCAUCCCCUUUCAGCCUGAAGAAGCCAGAAUGAUCUUCGCCCCCUUUCCUUACAGCAGUAAGGAGUUCCCAAAAUUAGAGGGGGGAAUGAAGCCAGAUUUAAAAUUAGGCAGUCAGGGCUGGGGAUGUCGCUCAAGUGGUAGUGCGCUCCUCUGGCAUGUGUGCGGCCCGGGUUCGAUCCUCAGCACCACAUACCAACAAAGAUGUUGUGUCUGCCGAUAACUAAAAAAAUAAAUAAAUAUUAAAAAAAAAUAAAUAAAAUUAGGCAGUCAGUGUAGUUAGGUAAAUUGAGUCUAAUAUCCAGUGAAAUCUAAAAUGGAGGCCAUGUUGAGAAGAAUUUCCGGAAAAGUUGAGCAACUCUUGAAAUGUUAAUAAAGUCCCAAGAAAAGCCCUAGGCCCAAAGUCCAUCCCAAAGAAAUGUUAAUGAACAGCCCCAGCAGAUUUGAAGAUAGCCCAUCCCAAAGAAGUGUUAAUGAAGUCCUUGCUGCCCAGAUUACUUCUUUGGCCCACCUGUGUCCCACCCCUCAGCCUUCCAACCUACAUUCCAUCAUUGAAAGAACUAUAAAAAGGGGAAACAACCGCACUUCCACGGAUUCCACGUCUUGGGUCCCCUCCUUCCUCCGGGUUAAGUCUUUUCUGCUGUCCUUUAAUAAACUUCUAAUUUCUACUCUGA